AUUGAACGCUGGCGGCAGGCCUAACACAUGCAAGUCGAACGGUAACAGAAAGCAGCUUGCUGCUUUGCUGACGAGUGGCGGACGGGUGAGUAAUGUCUGGGAAACUGCCUGAUGGAGGGGGAUAACUACUGGAAACGGUAGCUAAUACCGCAUAACGUCGCAAGACCAAAGAGGGGGACCUUCGGGCCUCUUGCCAUCGGCUGUGCCCAGAUGGGAUUAGCUAGUAGGUGGGGUAACGGCGCACCUAGGCGACGAUCCCUAGCUGGUCUGAGAGGAUGACCAGCCACACUGGAACUGAGACACGGUCCAGACUCCUACGGGAGGCAGCAGUGGGGAAUAUUGCACAAUGGGCGCAAGCCUGAUGCAGCCAUGCCGCGUGUAUGAAGAAGGCCUUCGGGUUGUAAAGUACUUUCAGCGGGGAGGAAGGGAGUAAAGUUAAUACCUUUGCUCAUUGACGUUACCCGCAGAAGAAGCACCGGCUAACUCCGUG
rnacentral:rRNA from 1 species